CUAGACACCUUCUGCCCGCCCCCCCCCCCCAGGGGACAUGGCCUUCUGGCUGACUCUCUCUUCUCCCAGGGCCAAGGUGGGCUGGAGACCCCUGCCAAUGCUGGCCACUGCCCCCCCUCUCAAGGGUCAGUCCCCAAGGGUAAUGGGUGAAGCAAUGGGGAAGUGCUGCUGUAGAGAAGGUGGACCAGCCUCAUAGAGCCAGGACCUGACCACAGGAGGAACUUUCUAUAGAGAUGGGGAAGAAGAAGGGUCAGCAGAUGAGGGCGGAGCCAGCAGACAGCACAGAGAGAACACGUAAUGGAUGGAAAGGGGGACAGACAGGUGGACAGGAGGAUGGAUGGAUGGACAAAUGGACAAACAGAACCUCAGCCCUGGUUGGUGCUGGACCUGAUGCAGGACGGCCCCGAGGAGGACAGCCCAGAGGCCAGCCUGUGGCCCACGACCGUCACCCUGCUCACCCUCUUUCUGCUGAGCCUCUUCUAUAGCACAGCACUGACCGUGACGAGCAUCCGGGCCACACCAGACAGCCGGGAGGUCCCCCAGUACUGAGCAGGAGCCAGUCGGGCAGGAAGGAAACUUGAGGAGCCUCCAGAGAGCCCAGCUGGAUGACAGACUUCAGCCCCGGUCAGAAGUCACGUGCCCACCCACAAAGGCCUUCCUUUCUGGUGCAAUAAAUUAUCCCAAAGGCAGAAGUUUUCAGACUCUGAAUGA